UACAGAGGUCUCAAGCGUUGUCCGGAUUUACUGGGCGUAAAGCGCACGUAGGCGGAUUGGUCAGUUAGGGGUGAAAUCCCGGAGCUCAACUCCGGAACUGCCUUUAAUACUGCCAGUCUCGAGUCCGGAAGAGGUAAGUGGAACUCCUAGUGUAGAGGUGGAAUUCGUAGAUAUUAGGAAGAACACCAGUGGCGAAGGCGGCUCACUGGUCCAUUACUGACGCUGAGGUGCGAAAGCGUGGGGAGCAAACAGG
rnacentral:rRNA from 1 species